AGUGAACGCUGGCGGUAGGCCUAACACAUGCAAGUCGAACGGCAGCACAGGAGAGCCUGCUCUCUGGGUGGCGAGUGGCGGACGGGUGAGGAAUACAUCGGAAUCUACUCUGUCGUGGGGAAUAACGUAGGGAAACUUACGCUAAUACCGCAUACGACCUACGGGUGAAAGCAGGGGAUCUUCGGACCUUGCGCGAUUGAAUGAGCCGAUGUCGGAUUAGCUAGUUGGCGGGGUAAAGGCCCACCAAGGCGACGAUCCGUAGCUGGUCUGAGAGGAUGAUCAGCCACACUGGAACUGAGACACGGUCCAGACUCCUACGGGAGGCAGCAGUGGGGAAUAUUGGACAAUGGGCGCAAGCCUGAUCCAGCCAUACCGCGUGGGUGAAGAAGGCCUUCGGGUUGUAAAGCCCUUUUGUUGGGGAAGAAAUCCAGCUGGCUAAUACCCGGUUGGGAUGACGGUACCCAAAGAAUAAGCACCGGCUAACUUCGUGCCAGCCGCCGCUGUAA
rnacentral:rRNA from 1 species